rnacentral:tRNA from 1 species
GGCCUGCUAGCUCAGUCGGUUAGAGCGUAGUGCUAAUAACGCGAAGGUCGUAGGUUCGAUCCUUGCGCAGGCCA